GAGUUUGAUCAUGGCUCAGAACGAACGCUGGCGGCGUGCUUAACACAUGCAAGUCGAACGAGAAACCUCGAGCUUGCUCGAGGGAGUAAAGUGGCGCACGGGUGAGUAACACGUGGGUAAUCUACCCCCGAAUCUGGGAUAACUUCGCGAAAGCGUUGCUAAUACCGGAUAUUGUCCUAUUGGUUGUGACCUUUGGGAUGAAAGGCAACCUCUUCAUGAAAGUUGUCGUUCAGGGAUGGGCCCGCGUACCAUUAGCUUGUUGGUGGGGUAACGGCUCACCAAGGCUACGAUGGUUAGCUGGUCUGAGAGGAUGAUCAGCCACACUGGAACUGAAACACGGUCCAGACUCCUACGGGAGGCAGC
rnacentral:rRNA from 1 species